ACCAACUCCUCAUCAUCAUGACCCCUGUAACAGCGCCAGCUGAUACCCAACUCUCCCGAUGCACGGCUUAUCUGAAAGGCGAACCCAAAGCAUUGGGGACUGUGCAGAUCAUGAUUGGAACCAUGACUUUCUUGUUCAGUAUCAUUUUAAUGGUUUCCCUUAUGACAGUUUUCACCAGCAGUAUUGCUAUUUUGGGAUCACUUAAUUUUAUAGUUUCUGGAGCUCUGACGGUUGCUGCAACGAACCACCGUAAUACUGCUGUG